GACGAACGCUGGCGGCGUGCUUAACACAUGCAAGUCGAACGGAAAGGCCCUGCUUUUGUGGGGUGCUCGAGUGGCGAACGGGUGAGUAACACGUGAGUAACCUGCCCUAGACUUUGGGGUAACUUCAGGAAACUGGGGCUAAUACCGGAUAGGAGCUCAUGCUGCAUGGUGGGGGUUGGAAAUUUGCGGCGGUUGGGGAUGGACUCGCGGCUUAUGGGCUAGUUGGUGGGGUAGUGGCUUACCAAGGGUUUGACGGGUAGCCGGCAUGGGAGGGUGAACGGCCACAUUGGUCCUGAGAUAGGGCCCAGAGGCCUACGGGAGGCAGCAGUGGGGAAUAUUGCACAAUGGGCGGAAGUCUGAUGCAGCAACGCCGCGUGCGGGAUGACGGCUUUCGGGUUAUAAACCGCUUUCGCCUGUGACGAAGCGUGAGUGACGGUAAUGGGUAAAGAAGCACCGGCUAACUACGUG
rnacentral:rRNA from 1 species